CACUAUAGGUUCAUGCAGAGUAAGACCAGUGGAGCAAUGCCAUCUCUUGGACUUUGGAGAUGGGGUGGUGGCCCCAGAAAGACGAGACAUCAUGGCAGAAAAAGAAGCACUGAGGCUGUUUGCACAGCUGAACGCAGAAGAUCCAGGAAAGGACCCCAAGGCCCACGGAGUCAGCUCCAUUGCUGGACCACAAAGUCUGGGUACCUGAAUCACCACGUGGAGGACAGCAACCUGGGAUAACUGUCUGCCUAGAAAUAUCCUGCAUCGGACUUUGCGUGAUCAAGAAAUGAACAUUGAUGUUGUUAAGCUACUGAGAUUUCAGAUGUUAAGGCUUGUCACGAUGUGGCUGCUGGUUUUCCUGUUGUCUCUCACCUCUCCACACUGCCAACCUGUGGGGAAUAACUGGUAGGUACCAGAUUGUCUUAUACCCGUCUGUGCCUUUGCUCCUUCCUAUAUGUUGCUACCCAGAAUGCUGCUCUCUUCUUCAUCUAGCAAACUCUUGAAUCUUUCAGGAUUCAGCCCAGACAGCAUCUCCCUUAGGGAAAAUUUCUAGAUCCCCUCAGUCGGGUUAGACACCCUCUAUCUGGGUUCUGGCAGCGUUUAUCACACUGAAUUGUAAUAUUUAAUGUGCUCAGAAUCUCCACAUAGAUUCUCAACCCCCUUGAAGGCAGAAACCAUACCUUAUUUAACGUUGUCUCUAUAUGUUUUCUUACUCUCCAUGAUGUUCUAUUGAUCUUUAUGUCUACAUUUAUGCCAUAUCACACUAUCUUAAUAACGGUAGCUUAUAAUAAGUCUUGAAAUCAGGUAGUGUAAGAGCUACAACUUUAUCCAUACCUUAUUUAACGUUGUCUCUAUAUGUUUUCUUACUCUCCAUGAUGUUCUAUUGAUCUUUAUGUCUACAUUUAUGCCAUAUCACACUAUCUUAAUAACGGU